GACGAACGUUGGCGGCGUGCUUAAUACAUGCAAGUCAACUGAAGCAGUGGUAGCAAUCUCGCUGUGGAGGUGGCGCACGGGUGAGUAACACGUAGGUAAUCUGCCUUCAGGUCUGGCAUAACUCCGGGAAACCGGGGCUAAUAGCAGAUGAUGCAGCGGCUCGACAUCGAGACAGUUGUUAAAGCUAUGGCGCCUGAAGAUGAGCCUGCGUCUGAUUAGCUAGUUGGCGGGGUAACGGCCCACCAAGGCGACGAUCAGUAGCUGGUCUGAGAGGAUGAUCAGCCACACUGGAACUGAGACACGGUCCAGACUCCUACGGGAGGCAGCAGUAAGGAAUAUUGCUCAAUGGGAGAAAUCCUGAAGCAGCAACGCCGCGUGAGGGACGAAGGGCUUUGGCUUGUAAACCUCUGUAGUGAGAGAAAAAAAUCCCAAUCUUUGGGACAUGAUGGUAUCUCAAAAGUAAGCCCCGGCUAACUACGUG
rnacentral:rRNA from 1 species